rnacentral:lncRNA from 13 species
AAUAUUCUCAACAUUUACCAUGUCUUCCAUUCACUCUGCAGACUCCAGAUGAGCUCAGCUUUCCAAAAUCAGUUCUACCAACUCCUACCCUCCGGUACCAGGAUGAUCAGCAUAGCUGAAGGAUGUCACAAAAUUAUGAGGGACAUGGAUGAAUCUGGAGAACAUCAUCCUCAGCAAACUGACACAAGAACAGAAAAUGAAACACCGCAUGUUCUCACUCAUAGGUGGGUGAUGAAAAAUGAGAACACAUGGACACAGAAAGGGGAGUACUAAACACUGGGGUCUGUUGGGGGGGAAAAGGGGAGGGCCAGUGGGAGGGGGAGGUGGGGAGGGAUAGCCUGGGGAGAAAUGCCAAAUGUGGGUGAAGGGGAGAAGAAAAGCAAAGCACACUGCCAUGUGUGUACCUACGCAACUGUCUUGCAUGCUCUGCUCAUGUACCCCAAAACCUAUAAUCCAAUAAAAAAUAAAAAAAAAAUAAAAAAAACUAGUGC